rnacentral:tRNA from 1 species
UUCCCUGUAGCUCAGUUGGUAGAGCAUGGUGUUUGCAACGCCAGGGUUGUGGGUUCGAUUCCCACAGGGGGAA